GACGAACGCUGGCGGCGUGCUUAACACAUGCAAGUCGAACGGAAAGGCCCCCUUGUGGGGUACUCGAGUGGCGAACGGGUGAGUAACACGUGAGUAACCUACCCUUGACUUUGGGAUAACUUCAGGAAACUGGGGCUAAUACCGGAUAGGAGCUCCUGCUGCAUGGGGGGGGUUGGAAAGUUUCGGCGGUUGGGGAUGGACUCGCGGCUUAUCAGCUUGUUGGUGGGGUAGUGGCUCACCAAGGCUUUGAGGGGUAGCCGGCCUGAGAGGGUGACCGGCCACAUUGGGACUGAGAUACGGCCCAGACUCCUACGGGAGGCAGCAGUGGGGAAUAUUGCACAAUGGGCGGAAGCCUGAUGCAGCAACGCCGCGUGCGGGAUGACGGCCUUCGGGUUGUAAACCGCUUUCGCCUGUGACGAAGCGUGAGUGACGGUAAUGGGUAAAGAAGCACCGGCUAACUACGUG
rnacentral:rRNA from 1 species